rnacentral:tRNA from 1 species
AGAGUAAUAGUUCAGUGGUUGGGCACAUGCUUAGCAUGCAUGGAGUCCUGGGUUCCAUUCCUAGUAUCUCCA